rnacentral:rRNA from 1 species
GCAGCCGAGCGGUAGAAGAUCUUCGGAUCUUUGAGAGCGGCGUACGGGUGCGUAACACGUGUGCAACCUACCUUUAUCUGGGAGAUAGCCUUUCGAAAGGAAGAUUAAUAUCCCAUAAUAUAUUGAAUGGCAUCAUUUGAUAUUGAAAGCUCCGGCGGAUAGAGAUGGGCACGCGCAAGAUUAGAUAGUUGGUGAGGUAACGGCUCACCAAGUCAAUGAUCUUUAGGGGGCCUGAGAGGGUGAUCCCCCACACUGGUACUGAGACACGGACCAGACUCCUACGGGAGGCAGCAGUGAGGAAUAUUGGACAAUGGGUGAAAGCCUGAUCCAGCCAUCCCGCGUGAAGGAUGACGGCCCUACGGGUUGUAAACUUCUUUUGUACAGGAAUAAACCUAGAUACGUGUAUCUAGCUGAAGGUACUGUACGAAUAAGCACCGGCUAACUCCGUGCCAGCAGCCGCGGUAAUACGGAGGGUGCAAGCGUUAUCCGGAUUUAUUGGGUUUAAAGGGUCCGUAGGCGGACCUGUAAGUCAGUGGUGAAAUCUCAUAGCUUAACUAUGAAACUGCCAUUGAUACUGCAGGUCUUGAGUGAAUUAGAGGUAGCUGGAAUAAGUAGUGUAGCGGUGAAAUGCAUAGAUAUUACUUAGAACACCAAUUGCGAAGGCAGGUUACCAUGAUUCAACUGACGCUGAGGGACGAAAGCGUGGGGAGCGAACAGGAUUAGAUACCCUGGUAGUCCACGCCGUAAACGAUGCUAACUCGUUUUUGGGGCUUCGGCUUCAGAGACCAAGCGAAAGUGAUAAGUUAGCCACCUGGGGAGUACGUUCGCAAGAAUGAAACUCAAAGGAAUUGACGGGGGCCCGCACAAGCGGUGG